UACGUAGGGACCGAGCGUUGUCCGGAUUCAUUGGGCGUAAAGAGCUCGUAGGCGGCUGCUCAAGUCGAAUGUGAAAACUCGAGGCUCAACCUCGAGCCUGCAUUCGAUACUGGGCGGCUAGAGUCUGGUAGGGGGUUCUGGAAUUCCUGGUGUAGCGGUGGAAUGCGCAGAUAUCAGGAGGAACACCAAUGGCGAAGGCAGCACUCUGGGACGUGACUGACGCUGAGACGCGAAAGCGUGGGGAGCAAACAGG
rnacentral:rRNA from 1 species